UUGAAAUACCAGGCACUGGAGUACGGUUGACAGCGUUUUAAGCGUGCUAGGCUAGUGUACAUCCAGUAUUAGCUCAGUCGGAGAGUAGUUUAAAACACCAGUACUGCACUCAGAGAGCUACAGAUUUUAUUCAUUUUAUCUUUGAGACUCAAAUAAAACUCAGGGUUGGCGUGGGAGAUGAAAUAUAAUAUACAUAUAAUAUCACACGUGAAAAUUAUAUAUACAAUUUAUCUUCGAUGGAAUUUUUAAUCAUUAAUUUAAUUCGCAGGUAUUUUACAUAUAAUAUUUUAGCCUAUAGAAAUAGGUAACAUUUCGAUGAGAAAGAUUUAUUUUUUAUUUUUUAUUCGAUGAAUUUUAAGGGAAGUCGAAGACAUACAAAUCAUACAACUGAAGCUGUAGGUAGAUAGCUGCUUUGGAUGCUGUGCCACCGAGUAUAUAAACACUCGGCGACACAGCUAAUCUGCGAGUAGCAGAAAUAGCGUAGUUUAGCCGAUCGAGUCGGAGCACCGGGCGUUACCACUUCAUUGCCCCGUCGAAACACAGUGUGGCAACACUGCGAAUCGACAAGCACAACUUCGUGGUAGCCCGGUGCCCCUCGGACGAAGCCCAAAAAAUUCCAGCACGCUGGCUUUUUUCGGCUUCGUUCGACUGGCUGCACUGUCGCUGAUCAAAAUAUUUACUUUUGACAAAAUGGCUUGUUUCUGUGUUUCGACUUCUCUUUACAUUAAAAAAUGGUUUAAAACGAACUAAUUAAAACCUUAAAACUAAUUUAAAAACGUGAUUAAAACGUAACAAUAUAAAUAGUUUAAAACUUUCAAACGGUUAAAACAACACCGUAGUGUUUUUAUAUACUUUUAUCGGGAGAAGCCCGUUACUUUAUGAUCGAUCACCGAUCUUCAUUUACAUUUCAAAGGAAAAAGAACAACAAUAUAAGAUUUCGAAGAUCGAACGAAGAAUACAACAAUCGGCCGCCAUGUUUUUGCUCGGUGAUUCACCGGUACUUAAUUUCAACACCAUUUCCAAAUUUGGAUUUUAUCUCGAUAUAUGAAGAUUCAAAUUUGUGACUAGAAUAUCGUUUAGUUUGCCCCGAGGCAUUUUGUAUUUAUUCGGUGAUAGCGAAUUACCCAUGACAGGUGAGUUCCGUUUUUGAAAAUUGAUUUGUCUUCGAAUUAUUAAUUUUUUUCUGCCCUUCGUAGGCUGUUUCGAUAAAUUUCCACGAUGAUACCGUUCGGUUCGAGAUGAUUUGUUUAACACGUUCGCCAAAUUUGGAUGAUAGAAAAAGAGUGGCCAUGUUGCCAGCGUAAUCGUUCGAUGCUUUUACUACUUGGAUUCAUCAAUACGACAUAGGUAAUUUGUUUUCCUAUAAUUUUGAUUUUAUUCGACGAGUUUAAUUUUGGAUUUUUCGUAGUACGAGAACUUUUUGCGCUGAAGGCGCUUUUGGAAAAACUAUCCGAACAGAUGAAAUACGACUUUACACGAUAAUUUUAUUUUGAUUUACCGAGCUAGUAUGUUGGAAGCUGGAUACUUCGAUGACAGGUGUUUUAUCGCAUGGACUUGCUCGUUCGUUGACCGGUGUUGAUUGUUAUUCUUUGUCGUUGGUGUUUUUGGAAACGGUUUCUUCGGCUUUGCUGUUCGGUAUCUUCGAUGAUCUUCGGUGGUACUUUCAGUCUCAAGUGUUCGGUGAAUUUUUCAAAAUUGGAUAGAUUUUUGUUCGUCGAUUUGUUCGUUUCUUACUUCCUGCGUUUGCUGAACAGGUGGCGGCAGUGGUAUUACUGGAUGGACAUCUUUUUUUACUUCAAUUUUUGGCCAACGUUUUGCUGGGUACUCGAUGGCGAAGAUUUGCUUAAUUUCCGGAGGUGAGACAUUUAUUUUAUCGUUCCUACCUAUUUCUUGAUGUUUUGCUAUAGGCUUUUCUUCUUUUUUCAGGUGCUGAUCGAGUGAAUUCAUCCAAUCAGCGAAGGAGAAAUUUGGUUUUGCAGAUUCGAAGGCAUUACUGCUGGAUGGUAUACUAUUUUUGUAAAAAUUUUCGUUGUUAUUUUUAUUAUUUUUCGCUUGUACUUUUGCAUCCCUGUUUUGCUUUGCUUGUUGUUCGUAUAUUCGUAAUUUCGCGUACCAAUUUGACCAAAAGUCAGUGGCCUUUGGGUCAAUUUUAUCGAUGCACUUAAUUUUAUCGUUUUUCAAGCCUUUGUUAUCGAUCUGCAUCGCCACUUUUAUCGUAUCUCGAUCGCUCGCGAUUUGCUUAUCUUUUUCGUCGAUACUACUUUUUAUUCGAUUUUUGGAAUUUGCCAAGCUGGUUUUAUUGCUGGCGAUUUCUUCUCUUUUCUUCUCCAUCCAGGCAGUUUUCCAUUUUAUUUUGCGCAAUUUUGGGUUGGUAUGCGUGUCUAAAUUUGUCGUAGGUAGGGUUUUUGGAUCUUGCUUAUCAUUUGUGUCGACCCGAUUUUCUAUGUAUCGAGUAGAAGUAGGUGAAAAAUUGUUUUGUUUUUUCGAUGUUCUGUUUUUGUUGUUGUUUUCUGCAGACUUUUUCAAUUCAUAAACCUCCUCAAAUAUCCAACGGCCGGUAUCUCCUGAAUUUAGUCGUUGAACUGCGCUUGUAAGCAUUCGGAGAGCGGUUUUCUGGAAACUAGGGAUUACUGGGGGUUUUCUAGUCUUGUGGUAUCGUUGGAAACGAUCACAAUGGACUCGAACGUUCCCUCUGUCUGUUAAAAUUUGCCUAUACUUCGUUUUGUCGAUGAAUAAAUCAGCAAUUCGGGUGAUUAAAUUUGUAUUUGUCAUUUUUGUAAUUUUUUUAUAAAUUUCGAUAAAAGUUAAAUAUCUUCGGAGGCUUUUUGCAUUUUUUCGACCUCGUACAUAGGGCAGGAGGAUCGGGAAAAUUACACAAAUUUGUUUUGCUCCUUUUUCUUUUAUGUAUUCAAUCGUUUUUCGAAGAUAAAACUCAACAAAGUGAAAAUCAAUGUCACGUUCAUUGAGCUCAUUUUCUCCAAUUGACAAAAUUACAUUUUCUCUAAAUUCCGGUAUUUUCUUGAUUUGGUCGUAGUGUUCGGUGAUCGAUCGAUUGUUAUAUAAACGCCCAUUUACUAGGCCUUCUCCCAAUAUGUCAUAAAUUUUUUUAUCGAUUUUGAUAGUCCGGAUUUCCCCCCUCGUUGCAGAUAUUUCUGCACACAUCGUCACUUGGCGUUUUUUGGGUCAGUUUUCUGCCCCUCUGACUUUUCAUCUCGGGGUGGCGGGGGGUUUCCUUGAUGAUUUCUUUGAUCGUAGUAUCUGUUGCGGUUCCAGCGAUAAUUUGGAUCAUAGUUUCUCCCUUGGUAUCUUGGGUUCCUUUCCUCUUCGUGAUUCUGCUGCCUAUCUUCUUUUUGUUCAUAGUUUUUACUUCUAUCUUCAUAAUUUUUACUUCUGUCUUCCCUAUUGUCUUGGUAUCUACGGUCUCUGUUAUGCGGUUCUUCUCGACGAUAAUCUCUUCUUUCGUAAUUGUUUCGUCGAUAAUUCUCCCUAUCGUGGUAUCGGUAAUUAAUAUUUAUUUUUGACUGGUCUUCUUCUUCGUCCCAAGUUAUGGUCAUGUCGUCCGUGUCCAUGUUUUUGACAGUCUCUAACUUAGCCAUAAUUGAGUCUUUAUUGGUCAGUCCUUCGCUAUUGGUUUGCUGUUUAAUGCACUUAGGGAAUUUUUUAUACACCUUGGAGAUAAUCAAUUUUUCUCUGGUAUCGGUUUUUAACAAGGUGUCGUACCAAUUAGAGAUGUAUUCGAUGAAAUCGAUAAUUUUUGUAAUGUGUCUUGGGAUUUCUUUUUCAAAAGCCAUUACAGCUGCACUUUUCACAUUAUCGUCCCAAAAAAUAUCUAAGAAGUAUUCUUGUAAUUCUUCAAAAGUCUUGGCUUUUUGGACUUUUUCGUUCCAGGCAGUUGAUUCGAUUUUCACACACGAAGCUAGCAGCAUUCUUCGAUUAUCUGGAUCGAUAUUUUGAGUUACCGCCGGUGUUGUAAAUUGAGCCAAAAAUUUGUGUGGGAAAAAUCUAUUUUUUUGCUCAAAAUUAGACACAUUUUUGUAGAAUAAAUCGAUGAAAAUUUUAUCUGAUCCGCUAGCUGGAACUGUAGCCACUUGUACGUUCUUCAUCGUAUUAUUUAAAGCCAUCUUCGCUCCUUCAACAAUUGUUUUAACGUUUGCAUCGACUAUGCCCAUAAAUUUGUCGUGUGCAUCUGAUUCAAUUUUAUCCAGGCUAUCUUCCAUAUUCAAUUUUAAUUGAUCGAAAUAAAUUUUAAUAUCUUUUUUCACGUCUGCAUUCAGAAGGGCAACUAUUUCGGUUUUUAUUUCUUCUUUUAGCGCUUCUUUAAGUUCUUCUUUUACCAGAUUUUUUAAUUCUUCUUUUAAUUCGGAUUUUAUAUCGUUUUUUAAUUCGGAUUUUGCGAGACCUAAGUCAUUUUGUAAUUUAUUUUCUAAUUCGUUGAGAUUUUCUUGAGUAAUCAUUUUGAUCUUUCUUUUUCUAGGUUUGGUUACUUUUGGAAUUGGUGGUGGAGCAAUUCGAUUACGAAGUUUAAUACCCUGAGGAAAUACUCGCGCUGGUGAUGAAGAUUUUACUGUUGUUUUAGGUAUUUUGAAGAUUUUUUGUAAUUUUAUUUUUUAAAAAAAUACAACUGAGAGUUCGUGGA